AGUCCGCGGGGCUGUUACGAGAGUCACAGACAGUAAGCAGCAUCCUCUCCCUGGUCCCCGCCACAAGUACUACCCUACCCUGGGGGGAAACUAAGUCUGUCCUGUGUGCGACAGGACAGGCAGGCCAGGACGAAUUCCCAACCCCCUACCUCCCAUCCCAUUUCCUAGGUCUUCGUUUAGUGAGCGCGAGGCGUUGGGUCGCGAGUUCGCCUCCCCUUGGUUCCCCGUGGGCGCGAGCGGUGGUUAAAUUUGGUUGUGUAUGCCGUAGAGACACGGAAAUACAUCCAGUCACCUUCGUAAUGGCCGGAUUAAUACUAAAUGACUUCGUGUGAAUAAUCUGCCGGAAAAACCCUUUUAACAGAUCGUAUCGCAGAAGCCGAAGGUCGAGUAAUUCUCAAUAUUGGGGCACUGCACAAUACCGUUUGUACAGUUAUUCUCGUGACGAUAAACGCCAAGCGAUAAAACUGCAUUGGUUAUGGAAUGUAGUAGAUAUAUAAGUAUGUUUCUGCAAUCAAUGGCGAGGGGAAGGCUGAGACGGAGGGGUAAAGAGAAGGAAGCGUCAUCGUGAGCGGCACGCGUCGUGUGGAGGGGGGGAAGUCACCGAUAUGGAGUUUUGCGGUUUUGCAUCCGGUGAGGUUCUCGGAUGCCUUACCCGGAAGUUGUUUAUCUUGCGAAGCGAUAUCGGGGAUUUUGAAUUAAUAUUGUAGAGAGCGAGAGAGAUGGAUGCAUUGCAGUGGUUGUUCUCUCUCUUGCAAACGAUGUGAAUUUUCUCGCGCGUUGGGGAAGUGUUAGGCGCCAUGCAUAUAGAAGUUUGUGGUUUUGUAUCCGGAGAGGCUCUCGGAUGCCUUACCCGGGGAAGUCGCUUGCGAAGCGAUAUCGAGGAUUUUGAUAUAAUAUUGUAGAGAGCGAGAGAGAGGGAUGCAGCGGUUGUUCUCUCUCUUGCAAACGAAGUGGAAUUUUUCGCGCGUUGGGGAAGUGCUAGACGCGAGGCAUCUAUAGAAGUUUGUGGUUUUGUAUCCGGAGAAACUCGCGGAUGUUUUAUCCGUAGAAUUUGGUCUCAUUAAGAUUUAUUAAUGUAAGGUUUUUUAUCUCGGUAUAAUAUUGUAGAGAGCGAGAGAGAGGGAUACGUUGUAGCAGUUUUUUCUCUUGCACCGCAUUCUCUUUUGCAGCAGUUUCUCUCUCUUGCAACGAUAUGGAUGGAGAGAGAUGUAUUUUUUUUUGCUUUAUCGUUUUUUGGAGAGAGAUGUAUUAUAACAAUGUGAGAGAAGUGCAUGUAUGCAUGUUAAUAAAUACACGAAGCAUAAUGCGGAGCAAAUCAAAUCGUUGUUGUGAAAAGUGAGCACGCACCUUCUACUGAAAAUAUUUUAAACAUGUCAAAAGUUGAUAUAGAUGGAUUUAAUAUCCAUAAAAAUUUUGUUUGUAAGGAAAUGGCAAUCGUGAACGUGCACACAGGCUACGCUGCCCGCUACGAGUUUGAAUUAGACGUCCAAUACACAGCGAUUUGAGCGAUGCUGACAGGAAAUCUGCAUGGUAUGUCUCGAGUUUUAUACACGGGAUUCCAUUCAAAAAUUUUUCCGGGCAAGAUAAUUAUAAACAAAAACACAUUGGAAUGUUAGUUAAACUUUUCAUUCGCGGUUUCAAGGAUCCCGUAAUCGCGUAUAAGGGGGGUCAUAUUGAGAGGGGUUUAUUGCGCGAAAUUGGCGUACGGCAUGUAAAUUUAGAAUCUUUUGGUUGCCCUAAAUUCGAAUCUUUAAUCGCGGACCCGAAGUAUGGGCCAAUAGACCCACCAUGCAGGCUUCAUUGUUGGACGUUUAAUACAACAUCGAAGCGGAAGGCACCACAAUACCACUGUGCCCUCAGUGAAGUGCGAAUCUUUCGCAAAUGGUACCUGCAAGAAAGAGAGAGAGAAAACGUAAGCCUGCGUGCACUCCUCAGCGAGGUGCGAAUCUUUCGCAAAUGGUACCUGCAAGAAAGAGAGAGAGAGAGAGAGAGAGAGAGAGAGAGAGAGAGAAGACGUAAGCCUGUGCGAAUCUUUUUUUGGUCGAGGUUACGUCCUCAGGGAAAAAAUUAUAACAACGUGUCGAUCGGUGCUGAUACGAUGGAUGA